CCCGGUACCAAAAAAAAAAAAAGAAUUACUGCUCAGAGCAGCCAUUUUUACAGCUGCUUUUUUGGGUUGUCAUCAUCUUUGUUUCCUAGGUAUUUACUUCUAUAGCUCUAAAUAACACUAUCAGACUUCUGGGAAGAUGGCAAAGUGGUAAGCAGUAAGAAUGGUAAGUAACAAGUCAACCUCUCCAAGAUUCAGAAUCCAGUACCAGAAAAUAACAACUUGGGGAAGAAAAGAAAGAGGGAGGUGGCUCCCCAGGGGCCCAGGAAUGAUCUGAAGGGAAUAUUGGAGCCCACAGAAAAAGUGAAGGAACAGACUUCAAUGCAGAAAAAAGAAGGGCCAAUUUGCAGAUUCUCCCUGGCUCCUGGCUCACAGCAUGAAAGAAGAGGAUCAAAUCUACAGAGAAACAAUGAAAGCAAUAACCUCAGAGGCUCCAGGGAGAAAUGCACCAGUGGAAUGGACCCAUGGAUGCUGGGCACUACAACAGCUGGGAUCAAACUUGGGUCCUUGUGCUUGCACAGCGAGUGGCGAAACCACUGAACUAAAUCCCCGGCCCUCAACAGGAAGAUUUAUGACAAGAACCCAGGGGCUCUGCCUACAUCACUAAAAAUGCCCUCGC
rnacentral:lncRNA from 1 species